rnacentral:rRNA from 1 species
UACGUAGGGUGCAAGCGUUGUCCGGAAUUAUUGGGCGUAAAGAGCUCGUAGGCGGUUUGUCGCGUCGAAUGUGAAAACUCGGAGCUCAACUCCGAGCCUGCUUCCGAUACGGGCAGACUAGAGGUAGGCAGGGGAGAGCGGAACUCCUGGUGUAGCGGUGGAAUGCGCAGAUAUCAGGAAGAACACCGGUGGCGAAGGCGGCUCUCUGGGCCUUACCUGACGCUGAGGAGCGAAAGCGUGGGUAGCGAACAGG